rnacentral:sRNA from 1 species
AUCUUGCAACCCGACUUGAACGGAAAUCCUUUUUUGCUUUGGCUAAAGUUCUAUUCAAAUUGAAAAAUUCUGCAAAAAAGAUUGGGAGUGGAAGGCGGAUAAGUUG